rnacentral:tRNA from 1 species
GGGCCGUUAGCUCAGCUGGCAGAGCAGGUGACUCUUAAUCACAAGGUCCCCGGUUCGAUCCCGGGACGGCCCA